GGCGCGUUGGCAGAGUGGUUAUGCAGCGGAUUGCAAAUCCGUAAAACUCGGUUCGAUUCCGGGACGCGUCUCCA
rnacentral:tRNA from 1 species